rnacentral:rRNA from 1 species
UACGUAGGGUGCGAGCGUUGUCCGGAAUUAUUGGGCGUAAAGAGCUUGUAGGCGGUUUGUCGCGUCUGCUGUGAAAUUUCGGGGCUCAACCCCGAACUUGCAGUGGGUACGGGCAGACUAGAGUGUGGUAGGGGAGACUGGAAUUCCUGGUGUAGCGGUGAAGUGCGCAGAUAUCAGGAGGAACACCGAUGGCGAAGGCAGGUCUCUGGGCCACUACUGACGCUGAGAAGCGAAAGCAUGGGGAGCGAACAGG